ensembl:lincRNA
CCAGCUUCGACAUCAGAUAAUGAACUGGCCAGACAAUAACCUUGCAAGAGACCACAAAAGGCAGAAGUUGCUGAAAUAGAAGGCCUUGGUUCUUUGCCUCCUCAUCAGUUGUUGUUUUCAUUCCUGCGGACAAUCCAAAAGCUGCUCGCAUUCUGCAGAAGAGCUCCCAUAUUAUUGAUAUCUCUCAUCUUGACAACACCAUUGUCUGAAUAUUCUGCUCCCUGACAUAUGCUACGAUGCAAGUUGAUUACACUUCUUCCCUCCUCACCCUCACCCUUCUGCUCAUAGCUGCUUCAUGCAAUGGUCUUCAAAGUGCCAACCCAACACCAACUUAUGAAGUGAUCAAUGUUAUAUCUGCUUGCAACUGCCCCCUGACCUGUCCAAAAGCCAUGACAGGUUUGAUGUUCGGUGGAAUCCUUGGGAUCUGCAUUAUCCUUCCUGCCCUCACGUGUUUAUAUGACACAUUGCUACAGUGGACAUUCGAGAGGAGGCGGCGCAUGAGAAGGCUUCGGCUGCUGAAACUCCGAAAGAUGGCUUUGUUGACAGACACAAAAGGAGUGAACACUAGAACGGCUCUGAAAGAAUCCUCUUCUUUGGAACAGAAAAGCUAGAGAAGACUAUAUGACAUCACUUUUCCUCUUCUAUUACUUGCUCAUCCGUUAUAUCAGCUCAGCUGUUUAAUUCGUGUAUUUCGGUAACAAUAUCACAUAUGUACUAAAUAUUGAAAACUUUUGAAUAAAAUUGUAAACAGAAUAUUUCAAAUCAAUUUAUGUUUCAAUGGUAGUCCCCAAAGUGUAUGAAAUAAAUGAAUUAUACCCUUCUGUUCUAUUCGUGAAUCAUUUAUCGAUCUUUCAGUUUUCAUAACUGUAACAAUGGAUUUACCAUUUUUUUAUACAUUAUUAUGAAAUCAAUUACAUUUAUAUUCUAACUGUUAGAUUAUAGGCAGGCUAUCUCAUGUUAAGUGUGCCAAGAUUAAAAUGUGCUCUCACAUUUCCACACCGUGGUUGUUCACCAUGUAAAAGGCACCAUUAUGAGCUCUUACAUGUGAUGGGCCCAUUGUUAAUUGCACUUGCAACCAUUGGUGGGUCCACGGCUUCCUGCAUUCUAGAAACAAGUGUCAUUCACAGAGGGAUCUUGUUUAGUACUGGAUCCCAUCGGAGGCUAGACCCAUGACAUAAGCCUCUAUUCAGUCGAAUCAUUUUGGUAGGGCAGCUAAAUAGGCCCCAUGCACACCCACUGAGUACUUAAGCAAACAUACUUUUUUUAGAAUCCUUAAGGUGUCUGGUUAACAUUUUUAGAUGUUAACAAGAAAAUUAGGUUGGUCUUGGGGUCUAUUUGGCUGCCAUCUUGGAUUUUGACAUGCCUAAUUACCGAAAAACAAAUUUUCAUAACUUUUGAACCAAACAUGCUAGAAAUACAAUUAAAACAUCUAUUCCAUACAGUUUUGACAUGACAAAUUUAUUUAUAAUAUCAUUUUUUAUAUUUGAUAAUGUUUUAUGGGUCAUACUUCUCAAAAAUGUCAGUGCUUCCUCUGCACUCACCAUCUUCUGCAGCAUCAGUGUGCGCACUUCAUCCACACCAGAGAAGCGAGGAUAGCCAUACAUCAGGCAGACAAACUCUUCCAGACAGUCAUACAGCUUGUCUUUCACCCUCCGAUAUACACCAAGCUGCUUGAGUGCUGCCUGGAACCUUGGGUACUUCUGGAGUUGCUUCAGUGGACCAAUCUUUCCUUUGCCUUUGAAGGCACUGGUGCAAUCUUCUCCAGUAAAACAAUAGAGACCCAUAAUUGCUGUACAGUGGACACGUCCAGGUGUGCGAGCAACAGAAGUGGCAUCCACAAUAUACAGCAAGGGUAGUGCAAAGUACUGGUAACAUCCUCUGUGGUAACCAAUGCCAUCCAGUUCAACACCUUCUAAUGACUUAGGUAUCUGACUGCAUAUAUUUUGCAUAUGAUAGGAAGACCCUGAAGGUUCAGCUAAACGUUUAUCACGGAUGUCAUGCAGGAAGGCCAGUUUCUCAAUGGGAUCUGCUUUGAUACUGCUAAAUGAUGUAAAAUUCCCAUAAUUAUUAAAACCAGUCACAUGCAAGAUACAGUUGGGGGAAGAGACUUUUUCAAGUCAACUCGACUUUCAGUGCUCAGGCGUUUUUUUUUUCCUUUAGGCAUAGUUGGGUUAGUUUCUACUUGACUAUGAUGUGAAUCCUCCACCAAAUAAGCAAUAUGUCUAUCUACAUUCUACCAAUUAGUUUCUCACCAUCAACAUUGCAUGCACCUGAAACCAGAAAAAAAUAUGAUGAAGCAAUUGAGGAAAAAUCGUUUACAGAGGUAAUAAUGCUGUUGGUCAGUUUACAUACAGCGAAUGACCACCGCUGCCUCAACAGACACAAGUUAGUAAGGCCCAUACAAUGUUAAAAUUAAAGUAACAAAGGUUUUGUUCAGUUUCCAUGUAGUAAAUGACCACUGAUUCUUCAACAGACUCGAGUCAAUAAGGCCCAUACAUUGAAACAAUGUAAAAAAAUCUUAACACCUGAAACAAACAGAAAGUAUUAUUUCGUGUUCUAGGAAGGGAAGGUAAGUAUAACACAGCAACAAUGGGAAAUAGCAUAAAUUCCUAUUAUUGUAUUUGAUUUAAAAUUCAAGUUCCAGGAUCUUAUCACUUAAUCAAGUUGCCUCAUUUUAGGGAACUUCUACUUCAUACAUAAGGUGAGUGAGACUAUUCUUACCCAGGCCCAACACGGACUAAGAGUUCUAGAAAGACUGACAAACAUGUCACAAGGUUACAAAAUUUUACAAGGAAUGACCAUUGCUGACAUAGUUAUCAGAUGCCAGUAAGCAAGGCCUAUACAAUAUGAAAUAAGAGUUACAA